UGGGGGAUAUUGCACAAUGGGCGAAAGCCUGAUGCAGCGACGCCGCGUGGGGGAUGAAGGCUUUCGGGUUGUAAACCUCUUUCGCUAUCGAACAAGGCCCGCUUAGGGUGGGUUGAGGGUAGGUGGAGAAGAAGCGCCGGCUAACUACGUGCCAGCAGCCGCGGUAAUACGUAGGGCGCGAGCGUUGUCCGGAAUUAUUGGGCGUAAAGGGCUUGUAGGCGGCUUGUUGCGCCUGCUGUGAAAACGCGGGGCUUAACUUCGCGCGUGCAGUGGGUACGGGCAGGCUUGAGUGUGGUAGGGGUGACUGGAAUUCCAGGUGUAGCGGUGGAAUGCGCAGAUAUCUGGAGGAAAACCGAUGGCGAAGGCAGGUCACUGGGCCAUUACUGACGCUGAGGAGCGAAAGCAUGGGUAGCGAACAGG
rnacentral:rRNA from 2 species